AGGACGAACGCUGGCGGCGUGCUUAACACAUGCAAGUCGAGCGGAAAGGCCCUUCGGGGUACUCGAGCGGCGAACGGGUGAGUAACACGUGAGCAAUCUGCCCUUAGCUUCGGGAUAGCUCCGGGAAACCGGAAUUAAUACCGGAUAUGACUACGGCUGACAUCAGCCACGGUGGAAAGUUUUUCGGCUAGGGAUGAGCUCGCGGCCUAUCAGCUAGUUGGCGGGUAACGGCCUACCAAGGCGACGACGGGUA
rnacentral:rRNA from 1 species